rnacentral:rRNA from 1 species
AUUGAACGCUGGCGGCAGGCCUAACACAUGCAAGUCGAACGAGUGGCGGACGGGUGAGUAAUGUCUGGGAAACUGCCUGAUGGAGGGGGAUAACUACUGGAAACGGUAGCUAAUACCGCAUACCAUCAGAUGUGCCCAGAGGGGAUUAGCUAGUUGGGGGGGUAACGGCUCACCAAGGCGACGAUCCCUAGCUGGUCUGAGAGGAUGGACAGCGAACCUGGAGCUGAGACACGGUCCAGAUUCCGACGGGAGGGAGCAGUGGGGAAUAGUGCAUAAUGGGGGCAAGCCUGAUGCAGCCAUGCCGCGUGUAUGAAGAAGGCCUUCGGGUUGUAAAGUACUUUCAGCGGGGAGGCGUUACCCGCAGAAGAAGCACCGGCUAACUCCGUGCCAGCCGCCGCGGUAAUUC